rnacentral:sRNA from 1 species
AUAAAAUAAUUUUUGCAGGCAGUUGGGAUGGCAACCAUCAGGGGCCAGAUUAACACGAAAUGGGGAGGAUUCCGGAAGUUAACGCACAAAAGGAGGAUUGGGACAUAGGUUUUCCGGUAAGAAGCGGUCAAAUCGCCUUAAAAGCAGGAAUGUGAAUCCAGGGUUAACGCC